GUGGGGAAUCUUAGACAAUGGGCGCAAGCCUGAUCUAGCCAUGCCGCGUGAGUGAUGAAGGCCUUAGGGUUGUAAAGCUCUUUCGUGGGGGAAGAUAAUGACUGUACCCCAAGAAGAAGCCCCGGCUAACUCCGUGCCAGCAGCCGCGGUAAUACGGAGGGGGCUAGCGUUGUUCGGAAUUACUGGGCGUAAAGCGCACGUAGGCGGACUGGAAAGUCAGGGGUGAAAUCCCGGGGCUCAACCCCGGAACUGCCUUUGAAACUCCCAGUCUUGAGUUCGAGAGAGGUGAGUGGAAUUCCGAGUGUAGAGGUGAAAUUCGUAGAUAUUCGGAGGAACACCAGUGGCGAAGGCGGCUCACUGGCUCGAUACUGACGCUGAGGUGCGAAAGCGUGGGGAGCAAACAGGAUUAGAUACCCGGGUAGUCC
rnacentral:rRNA from 1 species